rnacentral:tRNA from 1 species
GAAGAGGUAAGCUAAAUUAAGCUCUUAGGUUCAUACCCUAAUUAUGAAAGUAUAAUCUUUCCUUCUUUA